ensembl:lincRNA Gm43095 predicted gene 43095
CCCAUAGCAACAGGGAAGGAGUUCUGAUAAGAGGGGAAACUGUAGCAUCUUGGCCUCCACCUCCAAGUCCACCCAGGUUAUUUAUAACCACGCUGAGCACAUGGCCACUUCCUUGUGUCUGCGUAUUCAACAUCGCCAGCCGUCAUUUCAGAGGUGCACUGUUAAUUAACUUGGGAGAGGGAGGGGAUCACCCAGAAAGGAGGACUUUCUAGAAACAGCGACGUGGGCCACCAGACUCCCGUGGGAAGCAUUUCCCGCACUAUGGAAUGCAGGGGCAUGGCCCUGCUGUGGCAAGGCAGGCCUACGGUCAGCGGCCUCUCACUGUGGAGCCAAGCAAGCAGGGCCUAGCACAGGCAGGAGGGUUUCAAACACAGCCUACCUGCCUGGCACCCAGAAGGAGCUGCAUACCACCAUUCUUGCCACCAAAGACUGGAUUUCAGGGUUUUGGAUCAAUGAGCCACCAGAAGGAACUGGAGGAAUCAAUACCUGGCCCCUGAGAGACAGCCCUCGGUGAUGGCCGACCAUAAGAGUAUAUGCUACAAAUCCUUUCUCCCCAAAGCUGCUUCUGGCUACAGCACCUUAGCCCAGGGAUAGACGUGAAACCAGGAUUCCCAGAGGAGGUGUCUGAGACCAGCAGGUGCUCACUGAACAACAUCUCUUCCAGGAAGAAGAGAAUGAAGACUGCUUCUAGGAGGCGACAUCUCCAUCAGAGCACAUAAGGUCAGG